GAUGAACGCUAGCGAUAGGCUUAACACAUGCAAGUCGAGGGGCAGCAUAGGAGUAGCAAUACUUUGGUGGCGACCGGCGCACGGGUGAGUAACACGUAUGCAACCUGCCCAUAACUGGGGAAUAACCCGUCGAAAGGCGGACUAAUACCGCAUAACGACGUUUUUCUGCAUGGGAAGACGUCUAAAGAUUUAUCGGUUAUGGAUGGGCAUGCGUUCCAUUAGGCAGUUGGUGAGGUAACGGCUCACCAAACCUACGAUGGAUAGGGGUUCUGAGAGGAAGGUCCCCCACACUGGUACUGAGACACGGACCAGACUCCUACGGGAGGCAGCAGUGAGGAAUAUUGGUCAAUGGGCGGGAGCCUGAACCAGCCAAAUCGCGUGAAGGAUGAAGGUAUUAUGUAUUGUAAACUUCUUUUGUCAGGGAAUAAAGUGCGGCACGUGUGCUGUUUUGUAUGUACCUGAAGAAUAAGGAUCGGCUAACUCCGUGCCAGCCGCCGCCGUAACAC
rnacentral:rRNA from 1 species